CCUACGGGAGGCAGCAGUAAGGAAUCUUCCACAAUGGACGAAAGUCUGAUGGAGCAACGCCGCGUGCAGGAUGAAGGCUUUCGGGUCGUAAACUGCUUUUAUAUGGGAAGAUUAUGACGGUACCAUAUGAAUAAGGACCGGCUAACUACGUGCCAGCAGCCGCGGUAAUACGUAGGGUCCAAGCGAUAUCCGGAAUUACUGGGCGUAAAGCGUGUGUAGGUGGAUUAAUAAGUGUGAUGCGAAAUCCGGCGGCUCAACCGUUUGGACUGUGUCGCAUACUGUUAGUCUAGAGGACGGCAGAGGUAAGUGGAAUUACGGGUGUAGCAGUGAAAUGCGUAGAUAUCCGUAGGAACACCAAUGGCGAAGGCAGCUUACUGGGCCACACCUGACACUGAGACACGAAAGCGUGGGGAGCGAACAGGAUUAGAUACCCUGGUAGUCCACGCCGUAAACGAUGCAUACUAUUAGUAUGGGGUAUCGACCCCCUGUGCUGAGAAGCUAACGCGAUAAGUAUGCCGCCUGGGGAGUACGAGCGCAAGCUUAAAACUCAAAGGAAUUGACGGCUGNGAGNGCGAGACGACGACGAGGGAGAGG
rnacentral:rRNA from 1 species